UGUGGCUUACGUGGUUAGAGAGCCCACCUGGGAUGCGGGAGGUCGCUGGUUCGAAACCCAGCGUAGUCUUAACAA